rnacentral:rRNA from 1 species
CUACGGGCCGCACCAGUGGGGAAUAUUGCACAAUGGGCGCAAGCCUGAUGCAGCCAUGCCGCGUGUAUGAAGAAGGCCUUCGGGUUGUAAAGUACUUUCAGCGGGGAGGAAGGGAGUAAAGUUAAUACCUUUGCUCAUUGACGUUACCCGCAGAAGAAGCACCGGCUAACUCCGUGCCAGCAGCCGCGGUAAUACGGAGGGUGCAAGCGUUAAUCGGAAUUACUGGGCGUAAAGCGCACGCAGGCGGUUUGUUAAGUCAGAUGUGAAAUCCCCGGGCUCAACCUGGGAACUGCAUCUGAUACUGGCAAGCUGGAGUCUCGUAGAGGGGGGUAGAAUUCCAGGUGUAGCGGUGAAAUGCGUAGAGAUCUGGAGGAAUACCGGUGGCGAAGGCGGCCCCCUGGACGAAGACUGACGCUCAGGUGCGAAAGCGUGGGGAGCAAACAGGAUUAGAUACCCCGGUAGUC